rnacentral:rRNA from 1 species
GGGUUGUGAGGUUAAGCGACUAAGCGUACACGGUGGAUGCCCUGGCAGUCAGAGGCGAUGAAGGACGUGCUAAUCUGCGAUAAGCGUCGGUAAGGUGAUAUGAACCGUUAUAACCGGCGAUUUCCGAAUGGGGAAACCCAGUGUGUUUCGACACACUAUCAUUAACUGAAUCCAUAGGUUAAUGAGGCGAACCGGGGGAACUGAAACAUCUAAGUACCCCGAGGAAAAGAAAUCAACCGAGAUUCCCCCAGUAGCGGCGAGCGAACGGGGAGGAGCCCAGAGCCUGAAUCAGUGUGUGUGUUAGUGGAAGCGUCUGGAAAGGCGCGCGAUACAGGGUGACAGCCCCGUACACAAAAAUGCACAUAUUGUGAGCUCGAUGAGUAGGGCGGGACACGUGGUAUCCUGUCUGAAUAUGGGGGGACCAUCCUCCAAGGCUAAAUACUCCUGACUGACCGAUAGUGAACCAGUACCGUGAGGGAAAGGCGAAAAGAACCCCGGCGAGGGGAGUGAAAAAGAACCUGAAACCGUGUACGUACAAGCAGUGGGAGCCUCUUUUAUGGGGUGACUGCGUACCUUUUGUAUAAUGGGUCAGCGACUUAUAUUCUGUAGCAAGGUUAACCGAAUAGGGGAGCCGAAGGGAAACCGAGUCUUAACUGGGCGUUAAGUUGCAGGGUAUAGACCCGAAACCCGGUGAUCUAGCCAUGGGCAGGUUGAAGGUUGGGUAACACUAACUGGAGGACCGAACCGACUAAUGUUGAAAAAUUAGCGGAUGACUUGUGGCUGGGGGUGAAAGGCCAAUCAAACCGGGAGAUAGCUGGUUCUCCCCGAAAGCUAUUUAGGUAGCGCCUCGUGAACUCAUCUCCGGGGGUAGAGCACUGUUUCGGCAAGGGGGUCAUCCCGACUUACCAACCCGAUGCAAACUGCGAAUACCGGAGAAUGUUAUCACGGGAGACACACGGCGGGUGCUAACGUCCGUCGUGAAGAGGGAAACAACCCAGACCGCCAGCUAAGGUCCCAAAGUCAUGGUUAAGUGGGAAACGAUGUGGGAAGGCCCAGACAGCCAGGAUGUUGGCUUAGAAGCAGCCAUCAUUUAAAGAAAGCGUAAUAGCUCACUGGUCGAGUCGGCCUGCGCGGAAGAUGUAACGGGGCUAAACCAUGCACCGAAGCUGCGGCAGCGACACUAUGUGUUGUUGGGUAGGGGAGCGUUCUGUAAGCCUGUGAAGGUGUGCUGUGAGGCAUGCUGGAGGUAUCAGAAGUGCGAAUGCUGACAUAAGUAACGAUAAAGCGGGUGAAAAGCCCGCUCGCCGGAAGACCAAGGGUUCCUGUCCAACGUUAAUCGGGGCAGGGUGAGUCGACCCCUAAGGCGAGGCCGAAAGGCGUAGUCGAUGGGAAACAGGUUAAUAUUCCUGUACUUGGUGUUACUGCGAAGGGGGGACGGAGAAGGCUAUGUUGGCCGGGCGACGGUUGUCCCGGUUUAAGCGUGUAGGCUGGUUUUCCAGGCAAAUCCGGAAAAUCAAGGCUGAGGCGUGAUGACGAGGCACUACGGUGCUGAAGCAACAAAUGCCCUGCUUCCAGGAAAAGCCUCUAAGCAUCAGGUAACAUCAAAUCGUACCCCAAACCGACACAGGUGGUCAGGUAGAGAAUACCAAGGCGCUUGAGAGAACUCGGGUGAAGGAACUAGGCAAAAUGGUGCCGUAACUUCGGGAGAAGGCACGCUGAUAUGUAGGUGAAGUCCCUCGCGGAUGGAGCUGAAAUCAGUCGAAGAUACCAGCUGGCUGCAACUGUUUAUUAAAAACACAGCACUGUGCAAACACGAAAGUGGACGUAUACGGUGUGACGCCUGCCCGGUGCCGGAAGGUUAAUUGAUGGGGUUAGCGCAAGCGAAGCUCUUGAUCGAAGCCCCGGUAAACGGCGGCCGUAACUAUAACGGUCCUAAGGUAGCGAAAUUCCUUGUCGGGUAAGUUCCGACCUGCACGAAUGGCGUAAUGAUGGCCAGGCUGUCUCCACCCGAGACUCAGUGAAAUUGAACUCGCUGUGAAGAUGCAGUGUACCCGCGGCAAGACGGAAAGACCCCGUGAACCUUUACUAUAGCUUGACACUGAACAUUGAGCCUUGAUGUGUAGGAUAGGUGGGAGGCUUUGAAGUGUGGACGCCAGUCUGCAUGGAGCCGACCUUGAAAUACCACCCUUUAAUGUUUGAUGUUCUAACGUUGACCCGUGAUCCGGGUUGCGGACAGUGUCUGGUGGGUAGUUUGACUGGGGCGGUCUCCUCCUAAAGAGUAACGGAGGAGCACGAAGGUUGGCUAAUCCUGGUCGGACAUCAGGAGGUUAGUGCAAUGGCAUAAGCCAGCUUGACUGCGAGCGUGACGGCGCGAGCAGGUGCGAAAGCAGGUCAUAGUGAUCCGGUGGUUCUGAAUGGAAGGGCCAUCGCUCAACGGAUAAAAGGUACUCCGGGGAUAACAGGCUGAUACCGCCCAAGAGUUCAUAUCGACGGCGGUGUUUGGCACCUCGAUGUCGGCUCAUCACAUCCUGGGGCUGAAGUAGGUCCCAAGGGUAUGGCUGUUCGCCAUUUAAAGUGGUACGCGAGCUGGGUUUAGAACGUCGUGAGACAGUUCGGUCCCUAUCUGCCGUGGGCGCUGGAGAACUGAGGGGGGCUGCUCCUAGUACGAGAGGACCGGAGUGGACGCAUCACUGGUGUUCGGGUUGUCAUGCCAAUGGCACUGCCCGGUAGCUAAAUGCGGAAGAGAUAAGUGCUGAAAGCAUCUAAGCACGAAACUUGCCCCGAGAUGAGUUCUCCCUGAC